CAGUAACACAUGAUCAACUUACCCUAUAGAGAAAAAUAACCUCGGGAAACUGAGGAUAAUGUUUCAUAAUUGAAUUGGCUUGGAAAAGUUUUUCAAUGAAAAGGAUAAAAAAAAUGGUUUUUAUCUGCUAUAGGAUAGGAUCGUGUUCGAUUAUGGUUGUUGGUGAGAUAAUGGCUCACCAAGCCGAUAAUCGAUAGGGGCCGUGAGAGCGGGAGCCCCGAGAUGGGUACUGAGACAACGACCCAGGCCUUACGAGGCGCAGCAGGCGCGGAACCUCCGCAAUACACGAAAGUGUGACGGGGUUACCCAAAGUGUUCAAUAGAACUGUGGUAGGUGAGUAAUGUCCCCUACUAGAAAGGAGAGGGCAAGGCUGGUGCCAGCCGCCGCGGUAAAACCAGCUCUUCAAGUGGUCGGGAUAAUUAUUGGGCUUAAAGUGUCCGUAGCCGGUUUAGUAAGUUCCUGGUAAAAUCGGGUAGCUUAACUAUCUGCAUGCUAGGAAUACUGCUAUACUAGAGGGCGGGAGAGGUCUGAGGUACUACAGGGGUAGGGGUGAAAUCUUAUAAUCCUUGUAGGACCACCAGUGGCGAAGGCGUCAGACUGGAACGCGCCUGACGGUGAGGGACGAAAGCCAGGGGAGCGAACCGGAUUAGAUACCCGGGUAGUCCUGGCCGUAAACGAUGCAUACUAGGUGAUGGUACGGCCGUGAGCCGUAUCAGUGCCGUAGGGAAACCGUUAAGUGUGCCGCCUGGGAAGUACGGUCGCAAGGCUAAAACUUAA
rnacentral:rRNA from 1 species